rnacentral:rRNA from 1 species
UGUGUGACUGCGGAGGAUCAUUAUCGAAGUCUAUGACCUCCAUUACACCUGUGCACCUGUCUGUAGGUCUUCGAAAGGGGAUCUAUGUAUUCGAAUCACGCUCGCUAUGUAUGGCAUGAGAGUAUAUAACAUAAUAUAUACAACUUUCAGCAACGGAUCUCUUGGCUCUCGCAUCGAUGAAGAACGCAGCGAAUUGCGAUAAGUAAUGUGAAUUGCAGAUUUUCAGUGAAUCAUCGAAUCUUUGAACGCACCUUGCGCUCCUUGGUAUUCUGAGGAGCAUGUCUGUUUGAGUGUCGUCGAGUUCUCAACCAAGCCCUUGGGUUUGGCUUGGAUCUGGAGGCUGCUGGCGGAGGUCGGCUCUUCUGAAAUGCAUUAGCGAUCGGACCUACUACGGCCUUCCGGCGUGAUAACGAUCGUCGACGGGCUGGACUGGCUUUGGUCGCUUCCAACGACAUAUAUCAUAAUAUAUGCUUGACCUCAAAUCAGGCAGGACUACCCGCUGAACUUAAGCAUAUCAAUAAGCGGAGGAAAC